GCUUAGCCCUAAACACAAAUAAUUACAUAACAAAAUUAUUCGCCAGAGCACUACCGGCAAUAGCCUAAAACUCAAAGGACUUGGCGGUGCUUUAUAUCCUUCUAGAGGAGCCUGUUCUAUAAUCGAUAAACCCCGAUAAACCUCACCAAUCCUUGCUAAUACAGUCUAUAUACCGCCAUCUUCAGCAAACCCUGAAAAGGAAUAAAAGUAAGCACAAUUAUAAGACAUAAAAACGUUAGGUCAAGGUGUAACCUAUGGACUGGAAAGAAAUGGGCUACAUUUUCUAUCUCAAGAAAACUUAAUACGAAAGUUGCUAUGAAACUAGCAACCAAAGGAGGAUUUAGUAGUAAACUAAGAAUAGAGUGCUUAGUUGAAUUAGGCCAUGAAGCACGCACACACCGCCCGUCACCCUCCUCGAAUGACUAAAACACACUUAAACAUAUUUAAACGCACUAACCACAUGAGAGGAGACAAGUCGUAACAAGGUAAGCAUACNGGAAAGUGUGCUUGGAUAAACCAAGACAUAGCUNAAACA
rnacentral:rRNA from 1 species